AUUGAACGCUGGCGGCAGGCCUAACACAUGCAAGUCGAGCGAGCGGCGGACGGGUGAGUAAUGUCUGGGAAACUGCCUGAUGGGGGGGGGUAACUACUGGAAACGGUGGCUCAUACCGCAUACCAUAAAAGGUGCCCAGAGGGGAUUAGCUAGUAGGUGGGGUAAUGGCUCACCUAGACGCCGAUCCCUCGCUGGUCUGAGAGGAUGACCAGCCACACUGGAACUGAGACACGGCCCAGACUCCUACGGGAGGCAGCAGUGGGGAAUAUUGCACAAUGGGCGCAAGCCUGAGGCAGCCAUGCCGCGUGUGUGAAGAAGGCCUUCGGGUUGUAAAGCACUUUCAGCGGGGAGGCGUUACCCGCAGAAGAAGCACCGGCUAACUCCGUGCCAGCAGCCGCGGUAAUAC
rnacentral:rRNA from 1 species